rnacentral:misc_RNA from 1 species
AACAAGGCGUACCUGCGGACCUGCGGAAGGAUCAUUACAGAGUGUUUAACCCCCUAUAAAAUGGUGGGUCUAACCUCCCGUCCUUUGCUGGGUCCCCCUUCUGGAGGACUUUCAAAACUUUCUGCUUCGGCGGGGUAUACCCGCCGGAACACCCUCAAAAAAUUCUUGAUCAAAAUGGUUCGGUCCGAGAAACUUUUUGUGAAAAUUAGCGAAAAACUUUUAACAAUGGAUCUCAGAUCG